GACGAACGCUGGUGGCGUGCCUAAUACAUGCAAGUAGAACGCUGAAGAGAGGAGCUUGCUCUUCUUGGAUGAGUUGCGAACGGGUGAGUAACGCGUAGGUAACCUGCCUUGUAGCGGGGGAUAACUAUUGGAAACGAUAGCUAAUACCGCAUAACAAUGGAUGACACAUGUCAUUUAUUUGAAAGGGGCAAUUGCUCCACUACAAGAUGGACCUGCGUUGUAUCAGCUAGUAGGUGAGGUAAUGGCUCACCUAGGCGACGAUACAUAGCCGACCUGAGAGGGUGAUCGGCCACACUGGGACUGAGACACGGCCCAGACUCCUACGGGAGGCAGCAGUAGGGAAUCUUCGGCAAUGGGGGCAACCCUGACCGAGCAACGCCGCGUGAGUGAAGAAGGUUUUCGGAUCGUAAAGCUCUGUUGUAAGUCAAGAACGGGUGUGAGAGUGGAAAGUUCACACUGUGACGGUAGCUUACCAGAAAGGGACGGCUAACUACGUG
rnacentral:rRNA from 1 species